CUCUCUUCCUCCUCCUCCCCGUUGAGAGUCCCCUUGGUUUCCCCGGCUCCUCUCUCUUUCUCCUCCGGCGGCGCCGCUGCUUGGAGUGGGGAUGAGAGGGGAGCUUGGGCUGCUCAUGUCUAUAGUAGUAGUAGGUGUAGGUUUGCCGUUUUAGUGGUGUUUGGCCUUGUGCCGUGGAUUGGCGUCAUGCCGUCGGGGAGUUGGUCACCGGAGCUUGCAAGCAGCUUCUGGUGGUCGCCGUUGGAGCCUUCUGCUCUGCCUCCAUGGUGGAGGCCUAAGGAAGGAGCCGGAUCUGGCGAAUCCCCCCAUAAUAAGCUUGUUGGGCCACUGGAUCAAACCUCUGUGGUUAUUCUCUCGCUUCCUACCGUCGCGGUGGCGGAGCUUCCGACGAGGGUGGUGUCGUUCCCUGAUCGAGAGAAGGGCUUCCGGUGUGAAUCUGGAGGCAGACGAUGGGGAUCCUGAGCACAAUCAGCAGUGGAUUCAGAGAAGCUACAGCGCCCUCCAUGGCUGGCCGGCCUUCUCUAACGAUCUGCUGAAUCUUCAGGCUGAAUGGCGGCUAGUUUUAUUCCUCCAGGGCUUGAUGCCAACAAGGGAGGCAGUGCUGCUUGAAGUGGAGUCUGUGGUGCAGCCGCAGAGGUCUCGCCGGACCAAGUGGUUCGUCCCCGGCGCCGGCGAUGAUUGGAUCCACUGGAGAGCAGUUUGGACCCGGUCGCUUUUUCCUUCCAGUUUCGAAGUCCUUUUCAUAAGUAUCAGGGACUUGCCUGUAAUUUUCAGUUUCUUUGGAGUCCUGUUUGUAAGAUGUGCUGCGCACUGCUUUGAAUAAUGAAGUUCUGGGUCCUUCGAGGCCCUUCACUGUUCAAAAAAAAAAGAUUUCCCCCAAUUUUCAUUAAGAAAAGAGAAA
rnacentral:rRNA from 1 species